ensembl:lncRNA
AUCUCCUGCUUGAGCAGGGGCUGGACUAGGACCUCCAAGCCUUCGUAUAUAUAAAACUCUCCAGAUGGAGUGAUCCCCAAAAAGGGCUAUUCUAAGACUUUUCAGGGUGAAAAAUAUGGAAACUGGCUUCAAUCUCAGCAACUUUAAGGUAUAUGGAUUUCCAAGUCCCAGUUUACCGGCUGGGGAAUUCUGGGAGUUGAAGCCCACCCAUUUCAAAGUUGCCAAGUUUGGAAAAGUGAUUUUAAGGGCAUCCCAAUAUUCGUGGCUAUAGCAACUGUUGCAAAAAUCUGGAAAUCCCACUGCAAUAAUAAUAAUAAAACACCGUUGGCAUUUGCAAGGAUUUUAGACCGCCCUAGGGGAGCCAUACAAAUGCAAAAUAACGCAUACAAAAAAUUCCGAUUCCUCGAAGUAGCAGGAUCCCCCAAAAGGCAAGACAAAUUAUCUCUGUCUGCAAGGAAAGGGAUUUUGGAUCAUAUUUUCCCCUCCCCCUCUGGCUGUUCAAAGUAGUUCACUCCCUAUUGUUGCUACCAAUCACGGUGGGCGAGUCCAAUUCACAAAAAUGGGGGGGUGGACCUGAAGAAGUCCGCCAAAUCUUGGAAUCUUUCGCGCGCAAGCGGUCCACCCCUUUUCUCGAGCCCGCCCUAAUCCAGACAGAGAUACCUGACGUCACUUCCCCCCCCGCCUUGACGCUGCGGCCUGCUAUAGGGUUCUGAACCUACCCGGAGAGGUCGAGGCUCAGAGAGACUCGGAAGUUCUGGUUACCCUUGGCAACAAGACAUCCGGGUUCUUUCGUCCUCGGAGUGGAGCGAUUACUUCCGGUCUAGCUGGUCACCUAGGCAACGGGUCACUUGGUGGAGGCUUGUAGGAACCGAGGCGUCAUGGCGGAGGUGACAGCUCGGCCGUCUUUGCAGACAAACUGGAAACCACAAAUGCCUUUGGAAUAGCUGAAGUUGCUUUAUGGUCGACAAGGUGUAUUCCAUAUAACUGGAGUUUUAUUAGACUGCAUCCCUGCCAGCAGCAGCAGAACUUCCCAGAGCCAGAUCAGGAAGAGGUUUGUUCUGAUUUAUAUCUCUAUAGUUAUUUCAGCCAUUUUAAACUUACUGUCUCCAAUGCAUUCUGUGCAAAAAAACCACUUCAGUUGAAUAAACUUUCAUUAAUGGCCUCAAAAUGGUUAUUUAGGGGGCAAACUGAUUCUAGAUAUUCAUUGAUAUUAAACUACAGUUGCCUCAGCUCCCAUAGAAUGGCCAACUGUGCUUUCCUGAAGCUAGAAUGCUAAUAUCAUUUCCUAGAGAAGGCCUGGGUGGUUGAAGGUGAUGCUGGCCCUCUCUUUGAUUGUCUUGCUGGUUUUAGGUCUUUUGAUGACCUAGAUACCGACCAAGGAGGUAGGGGGUUGGUCAUUUAAUCUCAGAAUACCCAGCCAUAUUAUCCUGAACUAUUUAACCCUUGGUUUUGUGGGUGCUUCGAUUAAUCUUAAUAUGCCAGUAUAGUUUUAUAGCCAUUUAUCUACUGAAGUCCAUAACUCCUUUAAAGGUCUUGCAUUACUUACAAUAGUGAUAUUACCUAAUUGCCCUUCCAGUAUAUUAAAGAUGUUUUUUUUUUAAAAAAAUGAAGAAUUUAAGAAGUGUCCCAAUGAGAUGGGUUUACCGAGCGAUAUAAUGCAAUAGUGCCUGUUUUAUCCCUUCGUAACGUAUGACAUUGGAAGAGGUGGCAGUCUCAGAUUCGUUUCGAAGCUCAAUAGCUUGCUUUGUGCACUGUUUCCAAACAGGCAAAGGAGAACAGAGAAAAGCUCUCUUUCUGGAAUUUAUGAGUAAUGCAAAGGCAGUUGAGUAUUAAGAAUAAACUUCCUCCCUUUGAAAUAAUUCAAACCAGAUGUUGUAGGGGGGAAAAAGAGGGGGAGGAAAUCCUGCUGUUAUAACAUUUUGCAGCUUAGCAGCAGCAAGAGCAAAUAACUGUAGCUAAAAUAGUUUAUUGGAAACCGUAGUUGCUGGAAGUAAGCUUGGGAAAUGUACUAAUCCAAUCUGUUCUUCUGGGCAUUUGCGGCCUGGGAUUUAACUGGAACCAACUUCUGUAAAGCUUCGGAUCGCUCGGAGUCCAUUUUUCCAUGCUUUAAGCCAUCUCGUACUUCGAUAGCCAGCCAGUUUCCAACAAGCAAUGGAGGAAGCUGAAUUCGCUUAACGGCCUCCUAGUUCACUUAACUUCAGUGAUUCGCUUAACAAUCAUGGGGCGGGGGAGAUCCUAGAAGCGGGUGCAACUCACUUGGGGACUGUCUUGGUUCAGCAAGGGAAAUUCUGGUCCUAACUGUGGUCGUAAGGACUAUCCAUAAUGGCAUCAUUGCUACUGCAUGAGGGCAAUAAAUACAGAGAGAAAAGUACAGUGUAGGCAAACCUCAACUUACGACCACAGUUGAGCCUAAAACAUCUGUUGUUAAGUGAGAAAUUUGUUUUGCCCCAUUUGCCACGGUUGUUAAGUGAAUUCCUGCAUGUGAUAAGUUGGUUGUUAAGUGAAUCUGGCUCCCCCAUUGACUUUGUUUGUCAGAAGCUCACAAAAGGGGAUUACAUGAUCCCUCGGGACACCAACACCGUCAUAAAUAUGAAGCAGGUGCUAAACACCUGAAUUUUGAUCAGAAGACCGUGGGGAUGCUGCAGAGGUUGUAACUGGUAAAAACAUUCCUAUGUCUCUUCUUUCCCCCCCAGUGCCAUUGCAACUUUGAACGGUCACUAAACGAACUGUCCUAAGUCAAGCACCACCUCUAUCUACAACUUGGCAGGCACAACAGUUUUUGCCAUCGUGGCUCAAUUGCCUGUUUUUCUUGCCUGCCUCUGGUUAAAAACCCUCCUUAUUUUCCUCGCUGGGUAUUUUGCAGUGGAGAGAAAAGAUGGGUGUAUCAGAGCAGUCGGAGAACACAGGAUAACGCAAUUAGAGGGUGACAUUAUCCAUAAAAGUCUGUGAACAGCUUCAGAGCCAGCGAAAGAAUCAGCCCAGAAGGAUCCUGGUUUUUCAGGCAGAUUCAUCACAGGCUUUUUUAAAACUGUACACAGAAGCAGAAGAGUAAAUGGAAUUGCUGGUUUGAAUUUUUCCUCACUGAAAGAAACGCGAGCGGCGUAAAUCUGUUGAGGUAGAUUGAAUUUCCCGCUGGGUGAACGCAGAGUUUAUUCAUGAGAAUGCCUUUUUUUCCCCUUCUUCUUUUACUGCGUUUUAUUUUAUUUUUUUUAGCAUUUCCCACAUCCAAUGUGGUAGCACCCCGAGAGAUUUGAAGCAUGCUCCAGCUACGACUUCAAAAGGGCCAGCGGUUUGAUAGGGGAUUUUUAACUGCUACUUGCUUUCGUCGGCGAGAUUGUAGCACAACUAAAAGUUUCUGUUUGAAAGACCCUCCGGGCCUUUUGAAGCAUUGAGGGGGUAGAGCUUGCCUGUUUUAUAACUCUAUUGCAGUGGAAAGAUUAAGACAGUGGCAGAAUAGAUUCCCGUGGAAAACAAAUACUGUAUGCUUAAUGGGCCGGAUUGUAUACUUGGAGGUUUAUGUUGGCACACAAGCCUUAUGAAAGCUGAUUAACUUUGGGGGGGACUUAAGAAUAACUGUUGUGUAGAUGAGCACCGCUGUUUAUAUGAUUUUUUUUUUUACCCUUCUUUUUUUCAACACCAUUCAGGGUACAAAGCUAUAAAUUUGUUUUAAUAUUACCGGAACACUCAGAUCUAAA